rnacentral:rRNA from 1 species
UACGUAGGUGGCAAGCGUUGUCCGGAUUUACUGGGCGUAAAGAGCGCGCAGGCGGUCGUUUAAGUCGAAUGUGAAAGCCCCCGGCUCAACUGGGGAGGGUCACUCGAUACUGAUCGACUCGAAGGCAGAAGAGGGAAGCGGAAUUCCCGGUGUAGUGGUGAAAUGCGUAGAUAUCGGGAGGAACACCAGUGGCGAAGGCGGCUUUCUGGUCUGCUCUUGACGCUGAGGCGCGAAAGCUAGGGUAGCAAACGGG